rnacentral:rRNA from 1 species
GCUUGACACUGAACAUUGAGCCUUGAUGUGUAGGAUAGGUGGGAGGCUUUGAAGUGUGGACGCCAGUCUGCAUGGAGCCGACCUUGAAAUACCACCCUUUAAUGUUUGAUGUUCUAACGUGGACCCGUAAUCCGGGUUGCGGACAGUGUCUGGUGGGUAGUUUGACUGGGGCGGUCUCCUCCUAAAGAGUAACGGAGGAGCACGAAGGUUGGCUAAUCCUGGUCGGACAUCAGGAGGUUAGUGCAAUGGCAUAAGCCAGCUUGACUGCGAGCGUGACGGCGCGAGCAGGUGCGAAAGCAGGUCAUAGUGAUCCGGUGGUUCUGAAUGGAAGGGCCAUCGCUCAACGGAUAAAAGGUACUCCGGGGAUAACAGGCUGAUACCGCCCAAGAGUUCAUAUCGACGGCGGUGUUUGGCACCUCGAUGUCGGCUCAUCACAUCCUGGGGCUGAAGUAGGUCCCAAGGGUAUGGCUGUUCGCCAUUUAAAGUGGUACGCGAGCUGGGUUUAGAACGUCGUGAGACAGUUCGGUCCCUAUCUGCCGUGGGCGCUGGAGAACUGAGGGGGGCUGCUCCUAGUACGAGAGGACCGGAGUGGACGCAUCACUGGUGUUCGGGUUGUCAUGCCAAUGGCACUGCCCGGUAGCUAAAUGCGGAAGAGAUAAGUGCUGAAAGCAUCUAAGCACGAAACUUGCCCCGAGAUGAGUUCUCCCUGAGACUUAGAGUCUCCUGAAGGAACGUUGAAGACGACGACGUUGAUAGGCCGGGUGUGUAAGCGCAGCGAUGCGUUGAGCUAACCGGUACUAAUGAACCGUGAGGCUUAACCUUACA